AAAUUACAUAAAUGCAGAAACAACACAACCAUAAAAAUAUCAAUAUAUUGGUACAAGGUAAGAAAGUAACUUCUUAAGUAUCACAAUGCAAGCAUCAUAAGCAUUUAAGCAUUUUAAAAUUUGUCAGGUUAAAAAAAUAGUUUUAUAUAAAAAAUAUUGGAAUGUUUUGCUUACAAUAUUGCAAUCAAAAACAGAUCACAGAAUAAGAAAAACAUACAUUCAUUACAGCUGAUUGCAUUGAGUGUGUAGGCAAAGGUAGUAUACUUGGUAUGCUUGCUUGCUAGAUGAACCAUGAAGUCAUUAUUAGGUUAGGUAAACUUCCAUCCUUUAAGAGUAAACUAGUCUGACAGAUAACCAAAUAUCUGUCUCUAUGACUAGGCUAUUUCGAAAGGAGGGUAGUAUAACUUGUCUAUUAAUGACUUCACUGUUCAGCUAGCAAACUAACCCAGAUAUUACCUUUUCCUACACACUCAAUGCAAUCGGAUGUAAAUGUGUACAUAAAACUGCACAUAUAUUUUGUAAAAUGUAACAACCCUAUACAUUUUCUACAAAAAUUAAGGCCUUGAUUCCAUUAAUCAAUAUAAAUUUAAUGAGUUUUGUCAGUGUUUGGAAAUAUUGUCAGAUUGGCUUGGGUGUUUAAGGACCUUGCUGACCCUUAAGAAUUUCACAUGGUUGGUCUAUAUUGUCAUAUAACAAACAUUUUUACCCAUAUGGGAAUCCAGAAAUAUUGAAAAUCGUUGACUUUAGUCAAGUAAUCUAUAUUUUGCAGGCCACAAAUAAUUUUAUUCUUUAUUACAAAAUUCUCAUUUUCCAUUUACCAUAGAAUUUGUACUUAUUAAAGGCAAUACAUGUAUUAACAACAUCUAUUAUAAAGGAUGUAUGGACAAGAGGGUUAUCUUUCCAACAUGUGAUAUGAAUUUGACCCCUGUUUUGUAAAAUAAUGAUAUGCUUGGUUGAUUUUUUUUUAACAUAAUAGCUCAGAAAGUAACAGGAAGAUUUGUAAACCAAACUGGAUUCAUUCUUUACUUUUAAUCAAUCCUAGAACACAAAAAGCUUGGCAGAUAAGCAGCAAAUAAAAGUUUUUGAAAAACCCAACCUGGAUAUCGAAUUGAAGAUCUCAGAUGCAAAUAUUUCUAUGUUAACACUAUAAAUAUGCAUGCUUUCACUCAAAAAUCAGCAGCAGUACUGCAAAGGGGAUUUCAUACAGCAACAUCAUAAAUAGUAUAAGGGAAAAUAAUAUUUUAAUUACUAUUCCAAACUUGAGUAACUAACAAAUGCAAAAAAAUGGAGAAGACGUUACUAAGUUGUAUAACUUAGGUCUAAUCCAUUUGUCAUUUUGAAAAAAAAAAAAUGUUUAAUCUAAAAAAAAUGCCAUGUGAAAUAAUCUCUCUUUAUAAAAAUAUCUAAUGUAAGGGUAGAG
rnacentral:lncRNA from 1 species